UGGGGAAUAUUGCACAAUGGGCGCAAGCCUGAUGCAGCCAUGCCGCGUGUGUGAAGAAGGCCUUCGGGUUGUAAAGCACUUUCAGCGGGGAGGAAGGCGAUAAGGUUAAUAACCUUGUCGAUUGACGUUACCCGCAGAAGAAGCACCGGCUAACUCCGUGCCAGCAGCCGCGGUAAUACGGAGGGUGCAAGCGUUAAUCGGAAUUACUGGGCGUAAAGCGCACGCAGGCGGUCUGUCAAGUCGGAUGUGGAAUCCCCGGGCUCAACCUGGGAACUGCAUUCGAAACUGGCAGGCUAGAGUCUUGUAGAGGGGGGUAGAAUUCCAGGUGUAGCGGUGAAAUGCGUAGAGAUCUGGAGGAAUACCGGUGGCGAAGGCGGCCCCCUGGACAAAGACUGACGCUCAGGUGCGAAAGCGUGGGGAGCAAACAGG
rnacentral:rRNA from 1 species